GUCCACGCCCUAAACGAUGGAUACUAAGUAGGGGACCCUGCAAGGGGUUCCUUGCCGGAGCGAAAGCGUUAAGUAUCCCGCCUGGGGAGUAUGGUCGCAAGGCUGAAACUCAAAGGAAUUGACGGGGGCUCACACAAGCGGUGGAGCAUGUUGCUUAAUUCGAUGCAACGCGAAGAACCUUACCUGGGCUCGAAGCGUACGGAUUAGUUCUAUGAAAGUGAAUGACACCUUAACCGGUGGAACGUACGAAGGUGUUGCAUGGCUGUCGU
rnacentral:rRNA from 1 species